UCACCCCACAGGAUUGCUUUUGUAGAAGUAUACAAGUCUCUAAAUAAAUAGAAGGGAUUUUUUUUUUGAGAUGGAGUUUUGCUCUUGUUGCCCAUGCUGGAGUGCAAUGGCACGAUUUCAGCUCACUGCAACCUCCGCCUCCUGGAUUCAAGUGAUUCUCCUGCCUCAGCCUCCCGAGUAGCUGGGAUUACAGGCACCCGCCACCACGCCCGGCUAAUUUUGUAUUUUUAGUAAAGACAGGGUUUCUCCAUGUUGGUCAGGCUGGUCUCAAACUCCCGACCUCAGGUGAUCCACCCCCCUCGGCCUCCCAAAGUGCUGGGAUUACAGGCAUGAGCCACUGUGACUGGCAAAUAUAAGGGAUUUAAAAAUAAUUAUUCACCAGGAAAAGAACACUGCAUGGUUAAGAGCAUGUAAUUUGGCGUCAGACAGAAUUGGGCUAGGAUUCCUCAUUACUCCCCGAGCCUCAGCUGUCUUUGCUAUGAAUGGAGGAGACUGGGUUGUUGGAAUCAAGUGAGAUAAUACAUAAAGCUGGCGGGGGCGCUGGACAUGGUGGCUCAUGCCUGUAAUCCUAGGACUUUGGGAGGCUGAGGCAGGAGAAUUGCUUGAGGCAAGGACUUCAAGACCAGGCUGGGCAACAAAUUAAGAACCCUAUCUCUACAAAAAAGUUAAAAAUUAAAGAAUAAGCUGGGUGUGGUGGCAUGUGCCUGUAGUCUCAGCUACUCAAGAGGCUGAGGCAAGAAGAUGGCUUAAGCCCAGGAGGUUGAAGCUGCAGUGAGCUAUAACAGCACCACUCACUCUGGCCUGGGCAACAGAGCAAGACCCUGUCUCAUAAAACAAAAACAAACCAAAACAAAAUUUCUGGGGGCUGGGCCAUCUGGAGAGAGGAAAGGUGGCUCAGAACCUGGAGCUCUGCUGUUUCCUGGGGGUGGGACCUGUUUUUCUUUCUCCUCCUCCCACUCUAAGUCUGCCUUGUCCCAUCUCUCUGCCAGGCUCUUGGCGCACAAGGACAAACAGGCCACAGACCUGGAGGAGUGGGGCAGAUCCCUGGGUGGGAGUGGGGGUGAUUGCAAGGGGAAGCACCGCAGAGAAGGGCUUCCCAAGAUUCAGGCGGUGCUUGAAGGAGGAGCAGAGGGUGACUAGGCUCAAAGGGCACAGCGUGUGUGACGGAAUCAGGGAGGGUCAGUGCAUUUGGGGAAUGGUUAGGGCAGAGGGGUGAGGGGGUGGAUACGGGCACGUGUAGGUCUUGUUGCAGAAUGUGGACUUCAUCCCACUGGCCACGGGCAGUGGCUGAUGGAGGCCUUUGACCCAAGAGUGACAUGUCCUUAGACCAGCCUGGCUGCUGGGAGGACAAGGAGCAAGUUCAGGAGGCCUGGGCGGGCCACUGCUAGGGGCCAGGUUGGGGGAGAGGCAGAGCCGUGGGUGCACUCUCAAAGCCUCCGUUUCCUCCUCCAGAGCUGUGAGGCUGCAUGCUGGUGAAAUGAAAGGGCUACACUGGGAAGGCCUUAGCAAUUCGUGACUAUUCACAUAUCGCCGUACAGCGGGACCAAGGCGCUUGGCUGGGACCAGAAAGAAGCUAGUCAGGGACAUGAUGGAUGUCCAUUAAAUACCAACCAGGCUGAUGUGAGCCAGAAAUGAGGACAGUGACAACAGAAGAGUGACA
rnacentral:lncRNA from 1 species